rnacentral:rRNA from 1 species
GAUGAACGCUGGCGGCGUGCCUAAUACAUGCAAGUCGAGCGAAUGGAUUAAGAGCUUGCUCUUAUGAAGUUAGCGGCGGACGGGUGAGUAACACGUGGGUAACCUGCCCAUAAGACUGGGAUAACUCCGGGAAACCGGGGCUAAUACCGGAUAACAUUUUGAACCGCAUGGUUCGAAAUUGAAAGGCGGCUUCGGCUGUCACUUAUGGAUGGACCCGCGUCGCAUUAGCGAGUUGGUGAGGUAACGGCUCACCAAGGCAACGAUGCGUAGCCGACCUGCGAGGGUGAUCGGCCACACUGGGAAUGAGACACGGCCCAGACUCCUACGGGAGGCAGCAGUAGGGAAUCUUCCGCAAUGGACGAAAGUCUGACGGAGCAACGCCGCGUGAGUGAUGAAGGCUUUCGGGUCGUAAAACUCUGUUGUUAGGGAAGAACAAGUGCUAGUUGAAUAAGCUGACACCUUGACGGUACCUAACCAGAAAGCCACGGCUAACUACGUGCCAGCCGCCGCAGUAA